rnacentral:tRNA from 1 species
AUUUUUUAGUCAAAAAUGAUUUU